rnacentral:rRNA from 1 species
GAUUGAACGCUGGCGGCAGGCUUAACACAUGCAAGUCGAGCGGAAACGAUGGGAGCUUGCUCCCAGGCGUCGAGCGGCGGACGGGUGAGUAAUACUUAGGAAUCUGCCUAGUAGUGGGGGAUAGCUCGGGGAAACUCGAAUUAAUACCGCAUACGACCUACGGGUGAAAGGGGGCUUUUAGCUCUCGCUAUUAGAUGAGCCUAAGUCGGAUUAGCUAGUUGGUGGGGUAAAGGCCUACCAAGGCGACGAUCUGUAGCUGGUCUGAGAGGAUGAUCAGCCACACCGGGACUGAGACACGGCCCGGACUCCUACGGGAGGCAGCAGUGGGGAAUAUUGGACAAUGGGGGCAACCCUGAUCCAGCCAUGCCGCGUGUGUGAAGAAGGCCUUUUGGUUGUAAAGCACUUUAAGCAGUGAAGAAGACCUAACGGUUAAUACCCGUUAGCGAUGACAUUAGCUGCAGAAUAAGCACCGGCUAACUCUGU